AUUGAACGCUGGCGGCAUGCUUUACACAUGCAAGUCGAACGGCAGCACGGGUGCUUGCACCUGGUGGCGAGUGGCGAACGGGUGAGUAAUGCAUCGGAACGUGCCCAUGAGUGGGGGAUAGCCCGGCGAAAGCCGGAUUAAUACCGCAUACGCCCUUAGGGGGGAAAGCGGGGGAUCUUCGGACCUCGCGCUAUUGGAGCGGCCGAUGUCGGAUUAGCUAGUAGGUGAGGUAAAGGCUCACCUAGGCGACGGUCCGUAGCUGGUCUGAGAGGAUGAUCAGCCACACUGGGACUGAGACACGGCCCAGACUCCUACGGGAGGCAGCAGUGGGGAAUUUUGGACAAUGGGCGCAAGCCUGAUCCAGCCAUGCCGCGUGAGUGAAGAAGGCCUUCGGUUGUAAGCUCUUUCAGGUGGAAGAAAUAGCGCUGUUUAAUAGAUGCGUUGAUGACGGUACACCAGAAGAAGCACCGGCUAACUACG
rnacentral:rRNA from 1 species